rnacentral:rRNA from 1 species
CCUACGGGGGGCUGCAGUGGGGAAUAUUGCGCAAUGGGCGAAAGCCUGACGCAGCGACGCCGCGUGAGGGAUGAAGGUCUUCGGAUCGUAAACCUCUGUCAGCAGGGAAGAACAGUCACUGUGCUAAUCAGCAGUGAAUUGACGGUACCUGCAAAGGAAGCACCGGCUAACGCCGUGCCAGCAGCCGCGGUAAUACGGAGGGGGCGAGCGUUAAUCGGAAUUACUGGGCGUAAAGGGCUCGUAGGCGGGAUGACAAGGCCAGGGUGAAAUCCCCGGGCUCAACGCGGGAACUGCCUUUGAAACUGGCAAGCUGGAGGGGGUGAGAGGAAAGUGGAAUUCGAGGUGUAGGAGUGAAAUCCGUAGAUAUCUGGAGGAACAUCAGUGGCGAAGGCGACUAACUGGCACAUAACUGACGCGGAGGAGCGAAAGCGUGGGUAGCAAACAGGAUUAGAUACCCGGGUAGUC